GCCAGCAUCAUAACUUUCUUUGCACAUUCGUUGCUCUUCUCUCUUGUAACAUUAUAACUGUGGUCGCCGUCCAUUGACUUCAAAUAGCAGCGAUACGUCAGACAAUUACGCAUAUGAUUUAUAACUGGGUGGCAGUGUGGACCAAAUUUACAUGAAUUGAUAUCAUCUGCAGUAGCGAUGUUUUAACUAAGUCUCACAAGGAAGCUAGAACUUUACGAUGCAGUAGAAUAUUGGUAAACAAAAUUGCCGCUCCAACGAAACAGCCUUGUGAUUUUUCUUGCUGUGUGCGAAAUUUACACGGACUGAUGAAUUUACACUGAAUAUUGUUCUUUUUGCAUUGGAAAUUAUGUGUUGACAUGACUAUGCUAACUCGACCGUUGUGUAUUUCUUUCAGGUGCACCAGCGAAAUGCUUUUUCGCAAAUUCCACGGUUGGUCUGUAUGCCGAAACUAUGUUAGCAGCAAGUCUUGGAGAAGUCCAAACGGCCAUGUGCAACUGCAGUUUGGGGAAAUGCAACAACGGCACUUGCAAGCCAGACGGUACAUACGCUAGCUGCUGGUAAUGGAAGCAAGAAGAAGCAUGAGAUUAUUCGCCGCAGGGGCUGAAAACACCGCGUUUUAAAUAAACCCGCUAAUAAAAUUAUGCAGAUGCACUUCACUGGCAGCUGUGGUUUGGUAAAGGGAAAUAAAUUUUACAUUCUUUGACAAA